rnacentral:lncRNA from 1 species
AAGGAUUAUUAACAUCACAAUAAGAUUCAAGUGUGAUUAGGACUUGAUUAUCUAAAUCCUCAGCAUACUUAUAACAAGGGCAACUAGUGCCAAGUAUGCUAUUAAAUGUAGGGCAACAUUCAUCAAUUGAAGUUGUGUUGAACAUGCAAGUCUUCACUUUUUCUUGAUCACUAGCAGGGCAACUCGGUUUCGGGGGCGGACUCUGUAUUUAUAAAUAAAAGAGUAAUUUUAUUAAUUCGAAGAAUAAUUUUAAAAAUAUCUUGAAUUUCAUUUAGGGGUGUGCAUUCAGUUUUUCAGUUUGUAAAAGUGUAACCCAAUCGAUCCAAAAUAAUUUUGAUUUUGUGGUUUAGUUUUCCUCUAUUCGGUUUGGUUAUUUGGUUAUGUCAAUAAUUAAUAACAUAAACCAAAAGAAUAAUAUCGAAUCUCUUAAAUAUACUUUCUAAUAUAAAUCAUAAGAAAAACAUAAAACACAAUACCUAUAAAUAUACCUAUUAUAGAUGUUCAAGCAUACAAUAUAAACGAAUCGUGAAAGACAAUAACCAAAAAGGAAUAAAAGUAAUUAACUCCAAAUUUGGCUAGAAAAUUAAAAUAACUAUAAUGUUUUUUUUUUUACUUUAAAAUAAACUGAUGUUUUUUCCAUUCUCUAAGUUAAAAGAGUAAUUCUGUUUUAAAAUGUAAAAUAACAUAGACAAAAUAUAAUUUUGACAAAAUUUUCUGGCUAGAAAGAUUUUCUCUAAAUAAUUUGUUUUUUUUUCCGAAUAUGAUUUUUCUAAAUCUGAAAUCAAACAAAGCGAUUUAUUAAUCCAAAACCAAUCAAAAAAACCAAAAAACUAAUCCAAAUAAAAAUUUGAUUUAAUUUAAUUUAACCAGACUAGUGCACACCCUGAUUCUAUUCUUACUAGGAGUAUUUGAAAAGAUUUAUAAAGAUGAUAACUUACCCUACAAGGGGUGCUAACAUCACAAUAAGCUUCAAGAGUGAUCAAGACUUGAUUGUCCAAAUCCUCAGCAUACUUGUAACAAGGGCAACUAGUUCCAAGUAUGCUUUGGAAUGUUGGACAACACUCAUCAAUUGAAGUUGUGUUGAACAUGCAAGUCUUCACCCUUGCUUUGUCACCGGGCGAACACGUUGUAGCCGGGGCGGGAGGGGGAGGGCUAGGGCUUGGUGGUGGAGGUGGUGGUGAUCGUGGUGGAGGUGGUGGUGAUCGUGGUGGUGGAGGUGGUGGGCAUGGUCGUGGUCGUGGUCGUGGUCUUGGAGGAGGGCAUGGAUAUGGUCGCGGAAAGGGAAAUGGCCAUGGUAAGUAACACGGAAUUUCCCAUGGCCAUAAAUUUAACUUAUUCCCAUCCUCGACCACGUCCACAACGACUUCUCUAGCCACGAUCACUUGGUGGUGGCUGCAAAACAUGAUU